rnacentral:rRNA from 1 species
UUCGUAGGCGGUGUGGCAAGUCGGGAGUGAAAUCUCUGGGCUCAACCCAGAGACUGCUUCCGAAACUGCUGUGCUUGAGUGUGAGAGAGGCUCGUGGAAUUGCAGGUGUAGCGGUGGAAUGCGUAGAUAUCUGCAGGAACACCCGUGGCGAAAGCGGCGAGCUGGAUCACUACUGACGCUGAGGAACGAAAGCUAGGGGAGCAAACA